ensembl:lncRNA
AUUUCCAUGGAAAAUAGGAAACAUAAGAAAAAAAGCCAGGGUCCCUUCUCAGAUGGUGCCCUCAGAGCCUGGUAGAUUCCAGCAGGUUAAUGUCAGGACGGUUAUUGCAAAGACCUUACCCUCAGUGGAGAUUCGGCACUGAUAAGUUAAACUUCGGAGCAGGGACCAGACUGAGUGUCCAUCCAAGUAAGUAAUGUGGGGCAAAGGUGGACAUUGACAGCUAAUUCUUCUUUGUCUGAGAUGCCCAGUUGAGCCCAGGUGCUUUCUCCUGUCGAGCCCCAAAAGGUUCUUUCCACUCAUCCCAGAACAUCCUCUCAUCCUGCACUCAAUGCUCAGGAAACACCCUUGGGCCAGAACCUGAAAAAUCAUGAGUCAGAUGAUGGGCAAGGCGUCCUGGACCUUUCACGAGAGGAUCCAAGACACUAUUGUCCUGAGCAGGGUGGGUUGUCUACUAAAUUCUGUGUUUAUGGGAAUCAGAACCUCCAAUCCAGGGCACUAUAGCAGGAUGGGGCAGGAAGAAAAGGAUAAGAGACAAAGAUUCGACACAGAAGAGCAGAAGGUCUAACUCUAAAGAGUGUGAUCCUCUGUCCCCUCUGAGAGACCAGUGUUUCUCAAUGAAGUAGGAGCCAGGGCCAGUGAGUUUCUGUAAUGGUGUCCCCAGCAGUGUGAAUACAGGAGGAGCGAUCGGUAAACUCACUUUUGGGAAAGGAACCCAAGUGUCCAUAAUAUCUGAAGUCAAGGACCCCAACCCCACUGUGUACCAGCUGAGAAGCCCCCAAUCCAGUGACACUUCUGUCUGCCUAUUCACCGAUUUUGAUUCAAAUCAAGUCAACAUGGAAAAAAUCAUGGGGUCCGAGGGGAGCACGGUGCACAAAACAAACAGCACCGUGCUCAACAUGGAGAUCCUGGGAUCCAAGAGCAACGGGAUAGUGACUUGGGGAAACACCAGCGAUGCUGGAUGCGAAUACACCUUCAACGAGACCAUUCCCUUCGCCUCCAGCUUGGAAAUCUCCUGUAAUGCCAAGCUGGUAGAGAAAAGCUUUGAAACAGAUAUAAACCUAAACUCCCAAAACCUGUCAGUGAUAGUGUUCCGCAUCCUCCUCCUGAAGGUGGUCGGGUUUAAUCUGCUCAUGACGCUGCGGCUCUGGUCCAGUUGAGGUCACCGACAACCUGAGAGCCCCGUGCUCCCUCGCCCCUUGCUCCUCGUCGCCCUUCCUCUCCCUCUUCAAGCAGAGAGGCGCACUCUCUGCCCCCAUGGAUGAGAAGGCUCCCUCCUCCUCUCUGGCCUGGCUGGCCAUAACACCAACUGGAUCCUCCAGAUACUGGUGAUCAAGAUGCUGACAAGCUGCCCAGCACGGCUGCCACCCACUCUCUUCCUCACUGCUGCUUGUCACUGCCUGGCAUUCUUGGCAAAGUCGGGGGGCUGCUGCAGCCUCUCCUGGCUGUGGGGACACUCCCUCCCCACCCCCACCCCCCAGAGACUGCCUCUGAUGUCCCACUGGAUGGUGGAUCCCCAGUGGGUUCUCCUGGGCUCUAGCUCCUGGAGAAUGUUGUGUGUUGUUUAUAUUUUUUUACAUAGUGUUCAUAAAAAAAUAUAUAUCACCCUUUUCCCCAACAUGUGGGGAAAAAUUAUCUUUUCACGAUCUAGGCCCUGCUCUUCUGUGUAUCCGAGCCACAUUGUAUAUUCUGCUGCCACGGCUUCAAUAAAAGCGAUUUGGAAGAGAC